CCUACGGGGGGCUGCAGUGGGGAAUAUUGCACAAUGGGCGCAAGCCUGAUGCAGCCAUGCCGCGUGUGUGAAGAAGGCCUUCGGGUUGUAAAGCACUUUCAGCGGGGAGGAAGGCGUUAAGGUUAAUAACCUUGGCGAUUGACGUUACCCGCAGAAGAAGCACCGGCUAACUCCGUGCCAGCAGCCGCGGUAAUACGGAGGGUGCAAGCGUUAAUCGGAAUUACUGGGCGUAAAGCGCACGCAGGCGGUCUGUCAAGUCGGAUGGGAAAUCCCCGGGCUCAACCUGGGAACUGCAUUCGAAACUGGCAGGCUAGAGUCUUGUAGAGGGGGGUAGAAUUCCAGGUGUAGCGGUGAAAUGCGUAGAGAUCUGGAGGAAUACCGGUGGCGAAGGCGGCCCCCUGGACAAAGACUGACGCUCAGGUGCGAAAGCGUGGGGAGCAAACAGGAUUAGAUACCCGUGUAGUC
rnacentral:rRNA from 1 species